rnacentral:rRNA from 1 species
GAUGAACGCUGGCGGCGUGCCUAAUACAUGCAAGUCGAGCGAACAGACGAGGAGCUUGCUCCUUUGACGUUAGCGGCGGACGGGUGAGUAACACGUGGAUAACCUACCUAUAAGACUGGGAUAACUUCGGGAAACCGGAGCUAAUACCGGAUAACAUGUUGAACCGCAUGGUUCAACAGUGAAAGACGGUCUUGCUGUCACUUAUAGAUGGAUCCGCGCCGCAUUAGCUAGUUGGUAAGGUAACGGCUUACCAAGGCAACGAUGCGUAGCCGACCUGAGAGGGUGAUCGGCCACACUGGAACUGAGACACGGUCCAGACUCCUACGGGAGGCAGCAGUAGGGAAUCUUCCGCAAUGGGCGAAAGCCUGACGGAGCAACGCCGCGUGAGUGAAGAAGGUCUUCGGAUCGUAAAACUCUGUUAUUAGGGAAGAACAAAUGUGUAAGUAACUAUGCACGUCUUGACGAUACCUAAUCAGAAAGCCACGGCUAACUACGUG